rnacentral:rRNA from 1 species
UAAAAACCCCGACUUCGGAAGGGGUGUAUUUAUUAGAUACAAAACCAAUGCCCUUCGGGGCUCUUUGGUGAUUCAUGAUAACUAUACGAAUCGCACGGCCUUGCGCCGGCGAUGGUUCAUUCAAAUUUCUUCCCUAUCAACUUUCGAUGUUUGGGUAUUGGCCAAACAUGGUUGCAACGGGUAACGGAGGGUUAGGGCUCGACCCCGGAGAAGGAGCCUGAGAAACGGCUACUACAUCCAAGGAAGGCAGCAGGCGCGCAAAUUACCCAAUCCCGACUCGGGGAGGUAGUGACAAUAAAUACUGAUACAGGGCCCUUUCGGGCCUUGUAAUUGGAAUGAGUACAAUUUAAAUCCCUUAACGAGGAACAAUUGGAGGGCAAGUCUGGUGCCAGCAGCCGCGGUAAUUCCAGCUCCAAUAGCGUAUAUUAAAGUUGUUGUGGUUAAAAAGCUCGUAGUUGAACCUUGGGCCUGGCUGGCCGGUCCGCCUCACCGCGUGCACUGGUCCGGCCGGGCCUUUCCCUCUGUGGAACCCCAUACCCUUCACUGGGCGUGGCGGGGAAACAUGACAUUUACUUU